rnacentral:rRNA from 1 species
UACGAAGGGUGCAAGCGUUACUCGGAAUUACUGGGCGUAAAGCGUGCGUAGGUGGUUCGUUAAGUCCGAUGUGAAAGCCCUGGGCUCAACCUGGGAAUGGCAUGGGAUACUGGCGGGCUAGAGUGCGGUAGAGGGUGGCGGAAUUCCCGGUGUAGCAGUGAAAUGCGUAGAUAUCGGGAGGAACAUCUGUGGCGAAGGCAGCCACCUGGACCAGCACUGACACUGAGGCACGAAAGCGUGGGGAGCAAACAGG